GGAAUAUUGCGCAAUGGGCGAAAGCCUGACGCAGCGACGCCGCGCGGGGGAUGAAGGUUUUCGGAUUGUAAACCCCUUUCAUGAGGAAGGAUAAAGUGGGUAACCACUUAGCCGGUACCUCAAGACGAAGCAACGCCCACCUUCGUGCCAGCAGCCGCGGUAAUACGAAGGUGGCAAGCGUUGUUCGGAUUUACUGGGCGUAAAGAGCACGUAGGCGGUUGGGAAAGCCUCUUGGGAAAUCUCCCGGCUUAACCGGGAAAGGUCGAGAGGAACUAUUCAGCUAGAGGACGGGAGAGGAGCGCGGAAUUCCCGGUGUAGCGGUGAAAUGCGUAGAUAUCGGGAAGAAGGCCGGUGGCGAAGGCGGCGCUCUGGAACGUACCUGACGCUGAGGUGCGAAAGCGUGGGGAGCAAA
rnacentral:rRNA from 1 species